AUGGAAAAGGCAGUGUCCAUGGUGAAACAAAACUUGCAUGUCCCAUCGAAAGGAUCCACAAGAAAAUCAACUCCAGAAGAAGGUCCUCUCCAACCAACCAAGAACUCAUCACGGCUAACCAAGGUUCCAAUCUCAAUACAUACAUCAGAUAAUUUAAAAGGAAUGUUUUUUCUCCUCCUCUGAUUCAAGUGAAAUGGAUUUUCAGGCCCUAGACUAACCUUCAGCGGCCUGUCAUUCAGGAAAAGCUCACAGUGCCCUGCAGCAUUCUUAGCCCAUGUAGCUGAUUCAGC
rnacentral:lncRNA from 1 species